GACGAACGCUGGCGGCGUGCCUAAUACAUGCAAGUCGAGCGAAGUUUUUCUGGUGCUUGCACUAGAAAAACUUAGCGGCGAACGGGUGAGUAACACGUAAAGAACCUGCCUCAUAGACCGGGACAACUAUUGGAAACGAUAGCUAAUACCGGAUAACAGUAUUUCUCGCAUGAGAGAUAUUUAAAAGUUGGUUAUGCUAACACUAUGAGAUGGCUUUGCGGUGCAUUAGCUAGUUGGUGGGGUAAAGGCCCACCAAGGCGACGAUGCAUAGCCGACCUGAGAGGGUGAUCGGCCACACUGGGACUGAGACACGGCCCAGACUCCUACGGGAGGCAGCAGUAGGGAAUCUUCCGCAAUGGGCGAAAGCCUGACGGAGCAACGCCGCGUGAGUGAAGAAGGAUUUCAGUUCGUAAAGCUCUGUUGUUAGGGAAGAAUGGAUAUGUAGUAACUAUACAUGUAAGAGACGGUACCUAACCAGAAAGCCACGGCUAACUACGUG
rnacentral:rRNA from 1 species